rnacentral:rRNA from 2 species
CCGAACCGACUAAUGUUGAAAAAUUAGCGGAUGACCUGUGGCUGGGGGUGAAAGGCCAAUCAAACCGGGAGAUAGCUGGUUCUCCCCGAAAGCUAUUUAGGUAGCGCCUCGUGAAUUCAUCUCCGGGGGUAGAGCACUGUUUCGGCUAGGGGGCCAUCCCGGCUUACCAACCCGAUGCAAACUGCGAAUACCGGAGAAUGUUAUCACGGGAGACACACGGCGGGUGCUAACGUCCGUCGUGAAGAGGGAAACAACCCAGACCGCCAGCUAAGGUCCCAAAGUCAUGGUUAAGUGGGAAACGAUGUGGGAAGGCCCAGACAGCCAGGAUGUUGGCUUAGAAGCAGCCAUCAUUUAAAGAAAGCGUAAUAGCUCACUGGUCGAGUCGGCCUGCGCGGAAGAUGUAACGGGGCUAAACCAUGCACCGAAGCUGCGGCAGCGA